rnacentral:lncRNA from 1 species
ACCUAAAUGAAGAUGCAAUCUUCUACCUCAUACUUGAAAUACUUGAACAUUUGGACUUAAUAAUAUAUACUAUACAACCUAAAUAAUAUCUAUGUACAUUCGAACCUUUGAUGUUGAAUUUAUGUUCAUUUGUCAAAGUAGUAGGAAAUCAUCUAAGGACCUAAACCUUGUUAUGAUUCUUAUGGGUGUUUAACUCAUGAAAACAUUAUAACCCUUGGGGUUACCAAGUGUCAUACAAGUGUUAUGUGUGGAGAUGAUUAUUUUGAUAUAAUAUUUUCAUGUCACUUUAGUUUCGAAUCCUUAAUCUUCCGAUUCCCCAAACUCAUACACUUUGUUCCUUUGUGUAGAAGGACAAGGUGCUCCAACUAGCUAAUCCAACAACCAACUUACUAUCGGAUUCUCAAGUUCAAGACUUGCAAAACCGUGAGUAUACUCGUAUUCCCCUCUUUUACUUUUACCACUUUUGGGGUGUAACAUGUUACUUAUUAAAAACUUACACAUGAACAUUUUGCUUAAACACACAAACAUUCCUAUAACGUGCUUGUAUACGUGAUUGCUUGAUACUUUAAACUUCGGUGAUACUUAUGUGUUAAACUUAUCAUUAACUUCGUACAAGCCUAACCGUGACAUAUGUAGCGCUAUAGGAUUAACGACCCGCCCGUAAACUUGUGGUUAUGUCAUGAGCAUCUUCCGUUUCAUUAUUGGUUUGAUAUGUUAGACACAUGCCAAAUUUAUUGUUUAUCUUGAAUCGCAUGCUUGCUAUGAGGAAUUGUUUAAAACUUAUCUUUUGUUAUGUUGAUGAUGACGAUGCUAUGAAAAGAAGUAGCGUUGAUGCCUAGAUACACAUAUAGACGUUUAGGUUUAAUAUGUUGUACCAAUUUUGCUUAUGUUGUUAUGUACUUCUUUGAACUUGUUGUAUUUGAAUUUCUUGUAAUGUUGACAAUUUACUUUAUGAAAUGAAAUCGGU